CAACUCGACUACAUGAAGCUGGAAUCGCUAGUAAUCGCAGAUCAGAAUGCUGCGGUGAAUACGUUCCCGGGUCUUGUACACACCGCCCGUCACACCAUGGGAGUCGGAAAUGCCCGAAGCCGGUGACCAAACCAAUAAGGAAGGAGCCGUCGAAGGCAGGUCUGAUAACUGGGGUGAAGUCGUAACAAGGUACC
rnacentral:rRNA from 1 species